rnacentral:tRNA from 2 species
AAGUAUGAAGCAAUUGAGCAAUUAGUUUCGACCUAAUCAUUAGGUAUUAAAUUACCCUUACUUA